rnacentral:rRNA from 1 species
GGUUAAGCGACUAAGCGUACACGGUGGAUGCCCUGGCAGUCAGAGGCGAUGAAGGGCGUGCUAAUCUGCGAUAAGCGCCGGUAAGGUGAUAUGAACCGUUAUAACCGGCGAUACCCGAAUGGGGAAACCCAGUGUGAUUCGUCACACUAUCAUUAACUGAAUCCAUAGGUUAAUGAGGCGAACCGGGGGAACUGAAACAUCUAAGUACCCCGAGGAAAAGAAAUCAACCGAGAUUCCCCCAGUAGCGGCGAGCGAACGGGGAGGAGCCCAGAGCCUGAAUCAGCAUGUGUGUUAGUGGAAGCGUCUGGAAAGGCGCGCGAUACAGGGUGACAGCCCCGUACACAAAAGCGCAUAUGCUGUGAGCUCGAUGAGUAGGGCGGGACACGUGGUAUCCUGUCUGAAUAUGGGGGGACCAUCCUCCAAGGCUAAAUACUCCUGACUGACCGAUAGUGAACCAGUACCGUGAGGGAAAGGCGAAAAGAACCCCGGCGAGGGGAGUGAAAAAGAACCUGAAACCGUGUACGUACAAGCAGUGGGAGCCCCACCACUAAGCCAGUGGUGAACUCCACAUACGCAUCCUUUGCUGAGGAGACGGUUAACGGAGCGAAAGCGACGUUCAACCUCAAAAGAAGCAGAGGGGGCUUAGUGGUGGGGUGACUGCGUACCUUUUGUAUAAUGGGUCAGCGACUUAUAUUCUGUAGCAAGGUUAACUGUAUAGGGGAGCCGGAGGGAAACCGAGUCUUAACCGGGCGUUAAGUUGCAGGGUAUAGACCCGAAACCCGGUGAUCUAGCCAUGGGCAGGUUGAAGGUUGGGUAACACUAACUGGAGGACCGAACCGACUAAUGUUGAAAAAUUAGCGGAUGACCUGUGGCUGGGGGUGAAAGGCCAAUCAAACCGGGAGAUAGCUGGUUCUCCCCGAAAGCUAUUUAGGUAGCGCCUCGUGAAUUCAUCUCCGGGGGUAGAGCACUGUUUCGGCUAGGGGGCCAUCCCGGCUUACCAACCCGAUGCAAACUGCGAAUACCGGAGAAUGUUAUCACGGGAGACACACGGCGGGUGCUAAUGUCCGUCGUGAAGAGGGAAACAACCCAGACCGCCAGCUAAGGUCCCAAAGUCAUGGUUAAGUGGGAAACGAUGUGGGAAGGCCCAGACAGCCAGGAUGUUGGCUUAGAAGCAGCCAUCAUUUAAAGAAAGCGUAAUAGCUCACUGGUCGAGUCGGCCUGCGCGGAAGAUGUAACGGGGCUAAACCAUGCACCGAAGCUGCGGCAGCGACACCGUGUGUUGUUGGGUAGGGGAGCGUUCUGUAAGCCUGUGAAGGUGUGCUGUGAGG